CAACAGAAAAAACUCGUAUAUACUUAGAAAUAUGGUCUAAGAGUAUCUACUUGCUAACCUUAAAAUGGCAAACUACGAGGUGAGUGUUUUA
rnacentral:ncRNA from 1 species